rnacentral:lncRNA from 1 species
GCUGCCGUGCGGCUGGUGCGUGCUGUCCCACUGGAGCUUGUGCGUUCCAUCCAGUGAGGGCUGGUGCGUGCUGUUUCGCGUGGGCUAGGGGAAGCUGUCCCUGCACUGCUGGUGGAUGCUGUCUCACCAGGAUCACUGAAAUCCCACCUGAUGUGGUGGAAGUUGUCGAACCAGAUCAGAACGCCUUCGAGGACCACCUUCAGGUGAAACUGAACAUCGACAAGGCGCUGGAGAAACAGAAGGAGAGCUACCGGAGCAGAAUCAAGAAGGGGACCAAGUGCUACGACAUCCUUCCGAAUUACUUGGUUUGGAAGAAGGACGAAAGAAAGGGUUACCUCGGUGGAAGCCAACAAUCUUCUACAGUUGGAGCAGUUGGACGGUCGACCACUGAAAGCCCUGACGCCCUACACUUAUGUGAAGCCCAAUAGACAAAAUGAACGUGGUACCUUCAGGCGUUUGGAAAUUGCUCCCAAGGAUGAACCAGACUUGUGGAGGUCUACCAUUUUUUUUCUGAGGUCUUGGCUGAUUUCUUGUGAUUUUCCCAUGUCGUCAAGCAAAGAGGCACUGAGUUUGAAGACCUGAGCCCUUGGACAGUGCCUCAGUAUAACCUGGUCUGAUGAUUCCAAUCCUGGCUGUUCCUGACCACCUGGUGGUGCUGCUGAUCCCAUUUAUGCUGUGGAGCCCUGACCUGACUUCACCGGUCAUGGUACCCUGUCCCAGACCCCUGCUAAUGGAAUUUUACAGUAAAUCAAUGUAAAUGUUUCAAGGACCAAUUUACAUGUAUUUAAGUAUGUAUUUUUUGUAGUGGGGACAGU